UUUCGGGUGUCGCUGAUGGAUGGACCCGCGGUGCAUUAGCUAGUUGGUGAGGUAACGGCUCACCAAGGCGACGAUGCAUAGCCGACCUGAGAGGGUGAUCGGCCACAUUGGGACUGAGACACGGCCCAAACUCCUACGGGAGGCAGCAGUAGGGAAUCUUCGGCAAUGGACGAAAGUCUGACCGAGCAACGCCGCGUGAGUGAAGAAGGUUUUCGGAUCGUAAAACUCUGUUGUUAGAGAAGAACAAGGAUGAGAGUAACUGUUCAUCCCUUGACGGUAUCUAACCAGAAAGCCACGGCUAACUACGUGCCAGCAGCCGCGGUAAUACGUAGGUGGCAAGCGUUGUCCGGAUUUAUUGGGCGUAAAGCGAGCGCAGGCGGUUUCUUAAGUCUGAUGUGAAAGCCCCCGGCUCAACCGGGGAGGGUCAUUGGAAACUGGGAGACUUGAGUGCAGAAGAGGAGAGUGGAAUUCCAUGUGUAGCGGUGAAAUGCGUAGAUAUAUGGAGGAACACCAGUGGCGAAGGCGGCUCUCUGGUCUGUAACUGACGCUGAGGCUCGAAAGCGUGGGGAGCAAACAGGAUUAGAUACCCUGGUAGUCCACGCCGUAAACGAUGAGUGCUAAGUGUUGGAGGGUUUCCGCCCUUCAGUGCUGCAGCUAACGCAUUAAGCACUCCGCCUGGGGAGUACGACCGCAAGGUUGAAACUCAAAGGAAUUGACGGGGGCCCGCACAAGCGGUGGAGCAUGUGGUUUAAUUCGAAGCAACGCGAAGAACCUUACCAGGUCUUGACAUCCUUUGACCACUCUAGAGAUAGAGCUUCCCCUUCGGGGGCAAAGUGACAGGUGGUGCAUGGUUGUCGUCAGCUCGUGUCGUGAGAUGUUGGGUUAAGUCCCGCAACGAGCGCAACCCUUAUUGUUAGUUGCCAUCAUUUAGUUGGGCACUCUAGCAAGACUGCCGGUGACAAACCGGAGGAAGGUGGGGAUGACGUCAAAUCAUCAUGCCCCUUAUGACCUGGGCUACACACGUGCUACAAUGGGAAGUACAACGAGUCGCAAAGUCGCGAGGCUAAGCUAAUCUCUUAAAGCUUCUCUCAGUUCGGAUUGUAGGCUGCAACUCGCCUACAUGAAGCCGGAAUCGCUAGUAAUCGCGGAUCAGCACGCCGCGGUGAAUACGUUCCCGGGCCUUGUACACACCGCCCGUCACACCACGAGAGUUUGUAACACCCGAAGUCGGUGAGGUAACCUUUUGGAGCCAGCCGCCUAAGGUGGGAUAGAUGAUUGGGGUGAAGUCGUAACAAGGUAGCCGUAUCGGAAGGUGCGGCUGGAUCACCU
rnacentral:rRNA from 1 species